UGUGACCAAAACGUAGCUCAGGCCUG
rnacentral:piRNA from 1 species